rnacentral:rRNA from 1 species
UACGUAGGGUGCAAGCGUUGUCCGGAAUUAUUGGGCGUAAAGAGCUCGUAGGCGGUCUGUCGCGUCGGCUGUGAAAUCCCGACGGCUCAACCUCGGGUCUGCAGUCGAUACGGGGCAAACUAGAGUAUUGCAGGGGAGACUGGAAUUCCUGGUGUAGCGGUGGAAAAUGCGCCAGAUAUCAGGAGGAAUACCGAUGGCGAAGGCAGGUCUCUGGGCUGACACUGACGCUCAUGCACGAAAGCGUGGGGAGCAAACAGG